rnacentral:rRNA from 1 species
AUUGAACGCUCGCGGCAGGCCUAACACAUGCAAGUCGCGCGAGCGGCGGACGGGUGAGUAUUGUAUGGGGACUGCCUGACUUAGGGGUUUUACUACUGUAAACGGUAUCUAAUACCCCUUACUAUCGGUUAACCCAUAUGUGAUUAGCUAGUAGCUGAGGUAAUGGCUCACCUAGGCGACGAUCCCUAGCUGGUCUGAGAGGAUGAUCAGCCACAAGGGGAUGGAGACAGGGCCCAGACUCCGAGGGGGGCAGCAGUGGGGAAAAUUGCACAAUGGGCGCAAGCCAGAUGCAGCCAUGCGGAGUGUAGGAAGGAGGGCCUAGGGUUGUAAAGUGCUUACAGUCGGGAGGCGUUACCGACAGAAGAAGCUCCGGCUAACUCCGUGCCAGCCGCCGCGGUAAUUC